UGGGGAAUAUUGCGCAAUGGGGGAAACCCUGACGCAGCGACGCCGCGUGCGGGAUGAAGGCCUUCGGGUUGUAAACCGCUUUCAGCAGGGACGAGGCCUUAUGGUGACGGUACCUGCAGAAGAAGCUCCGGCUAAAUACGUGCCAGCAGCCGCGGUAAUACGUAUGGGGCGAGCGUUGUCCGGAAUUAUUGGGCGUAAAGGGUACGUAGGCGGUUUUUUAAGUCAGGUGUCAAAGCGUGGAGCUUAACUCCAUUAAGCACUUGAAACUGAAAGACUUGAGUGAAGGAGAGGAAAGUGGAAUUCCUAGUGUAGCGGUGAAAUGCGUAGAUAUUAGGAGGAAUACCGGUGGCGAAGGCGACUUUCUGGACUUUUACUGACGCUCAGGUACGAAAGCGUGGGGAGCAAACAGG
rnacentral:rRNA from 1 species